rnacentral:rRNA from 1 species
GUGGGGAAUUUUGGACAAUGGGCGCAAGCCUGAUCCAGCCAUGCCGCGUGCAGGAUGAAGGCCUUCGGGUUGUAAACUGCUUUUGUACGGAACGAAAAAGCUCUCUCUAAUACAGGGGGUGAAUGACGGUACCGUAAGAAUAAGCACCGGCUAACUACGUGCCAGCAGCCGCGGUAAUACGUAGGGUGCAAGCGUUAAUCGGAAUUACUGGGCGUAAAGCGUGCGCAGGCGGUUAUGUAAGACAGAGGUGAAAUCCCCGGGCUCAACCUGGGAACUGCAUUUGUGACUGUAUAGCUAGAGUACGGUAGAGGGGGAUGGAAUUCCGCGUGUAGCAGUGAAAUGCGUAGAUAUGCGGAGGAACACCGAUGGCGAAGGCAAUCCCCUGGGCCUGCACUGACGCUCAUGCACGAAAGCGUGGGGAGCAAACAGGAUUAGAUACCCCUGUAGUCC